UACGUAGGGUGCGAGCGUUGUCCGGAAUUACUGGGCGUAAAGAGUUCGUAGGCGGUUUGUCGCGUCGUUCGUGAAAACUUGGGGCUUAACUCCAAGCGUGCGGGCGAUACGGGCAGACUUGAGUACUACAGGGGAGACUGGAAUUCCUGGUGUAGCGGUGAAAUGCGCAGAUAUCAGGAGGAACACCGGUGGCGAAGGCGGGUCUCUGGGCCGGAACUGACGCUGAGGAGCGAAAGCCAGGGAGCAAACGGG
rnacentral:rRNA from 1 species